AUUCGGUAAGGCAGUCACAAGGAAUGAAGUAAUUGAGACAUUGAGAGAGGUUACAGAAACUGGGGCAUUGCCAGAGAAGUUGAUUGGAAGCGAGGAUGCUGAUUCUCUGAAAGAUAGAGACGUUUCUAGUCCAAAAGAUAGGCAGUUGGAACAAAUCACAAUGGUCCGGACUGAAGAACAGGAAGGCGUCCAAUGUGAUUAUGAUGGAAGAAGUCAGGUGGAAAGAACUGUGGUUAUGCCUGAGAUAAUGACGAAAAAAGGGAGUGAUGCAGGACCUGUGGGGAAG
rnacentral:misc_RNA from 1 species